ACCAAAGAAGCCAAGAGGGAUAAUAAACAAAAGGGGAAGGAAAUCAGGAGUGUGAGAAGUGAAGGCGAGCUAGAAAAAGCUCUCAAAGGGUGGAAGGAGGAGUAGGAAAGAGCUCGACACUACAAAACUCGAUUCUAGGCCCAGAAUUGUCGCAGGCCUGGUUGAUAUGUUUAGUCGACAGCUUAUGUUGGACCAUGGCGCUUGGUAUGGGGAAAGAGAGAGAAGAAGCAAAGGGAGGAAGGAUGAACGGGAGAGUUGCAAAGUGGAGUAGUGGCCGACAUAGGACAUGACGCUUGGUGUGGGUAAAGAGAGAGGAAGGAUGAGAAGGAGAGAAAUUGACAGAGGUAAGAGAGAGAAUAUAUGAAAUUGGGAUAGAACUGGGAUGGGACUGAUCCUGAGACAUUUUUAUCUUGUCCCAAGACACUUUUGUCCCGAAAAUUUUCCGAUUGGGACAGGGCAUAAGUGAACGCUACUAGUUGCUUGAUGAAAUUGGAUGCUGGAAACUGAUUCAAACUUGUUUGCUGUCACCAACUUUAAAUAAAAAUCUUCAAAAGGUUCAAAGAUACUGAUUUAUAUGCUAAGGU